GUCAUAUAACUCAGUAGUUUUGAAUGUGGUGCUGAUAACGCCAGGGUUGCAGGUUUGAUGCCUGUAUGGGACA